rnacentral:rRNA from 3 species
UGAAGAGUUUGAUCAUGGCUCAGAUUGAACGCUGGCGGCAGGCCUAACACAUGCAAGUCGAACGGUAACAGGAAGCAGCUUGCUGCUUUGCUGACGAGUGGCGGACGGGUGAGUAAUGUCUGGGAAACUGCCUGAUGGAGGGGGAUAACUACUGGAAACGGUGGCUAAUACCGCAUAACGUCGCAAGACCAAAGAGGGGGACCUUCGGGCCUCUUGCCAUCAGAUGUGCCCAGAUGGGAUUAGCUUGUUGGUGAGGUAACGGCUCACCAAGGCGACGAUCCCUAGCUGGUCUGAGAGGAUGACCAGCCACACUGGAACUGAGACACGGUCCAGACUCCUACGGGAGGCAGCAGUGGGGAAUAUUGCACAAUGGGCGCAAGCCUGAUGCAGCCAUGCCGCGUGUAUGAAGAAGGCCUUCGGGUUGUAAAGUACUUUCAGCGGGGAGGAAGGUGUUGUGGUUAAUAACCGCAGCAAUUGACGUUACCCGCAGAAGAAGCACCGGCUAACUCCGUGCCAGCAGCCGCGGUAAUACGGAGGGUGCAAGCGUUAAUCGGAAUUACUGGGCGUAAAGCGCACGCAGGCGGUCUGUCAAGUCGGAUGUGAAAUCCCCGGGCUCAACCUGGGAACUGCAUUCGAAACUGGCAGGCUUGAGUCUUGUAGAGGGGGGUAGAAUUCCAGGUGUAGCGGUGAAAUGCGUAGAGAUCUGGAGGAAUACCGGUGGCGAAGGCGGCCCCCUGGACAAAGACUGACGCUCAGGUGCGAAAGCGUGGGGAGCAAACAGGAUUAGAUACCCUGGUAGUCCACGCCGUAAACGAUGUCUACUUGGAGGUUGUGCCCUUGAGGCGUGGCUUCCGGAGCUAACGCGUUAAGUAGACCGCCUGGGGAGUACGGCCGCAAGGUUAAAACUCAAAUGAAUUGACGGGGGCCCGCACAAGCGGUGGAGCAUGUGGUUUAAUUCGAUGCAACGCGAAGAACCUUACCUGGUCUUGACAUCCACGGAAGUUUUCAGAGAUGAGAAUGUGCCUUCGGGAACCGUGAGACAGGUGCUGCAUGGCUGUCGUCAGCUCGUGUUGUGAAAUGUUGGGUUAAGUCCCGCAACGAGCGCAACCCUUAUCCUUUGUUGCCAGCGGUCCGGCCGGGAACUCAAAGGAGACUGCCAGUGAUAAACUGGAGGAAGGUGGGGAUGACGUCAAGUCAUCAUGGCCCUUACGACCAGGGCUACACACGUGCUACAAUGGCGCAUACAAAGAGAAGCGACCUCGCGAGAGCAAGCGGACCUCAUAAAGUGCGUCGUAGUCCGGAUUGGAGUCUGCAACUCGACUCCAUGAAGUCGGAAUCGCUAGUAAUCGUGGAUCAGAAUGCCACGGUGAAUACGUUCCCGGGCCUUGUACACA